rnacentral:lncRNA from 7 species
UUCCUUUCCCCUCUGCAGUCCCACUGUCCCCAAGCUGCUCCUGUCUCAUGGCACCAAUGGCAGUGAACCUCAUUCUCGGUUGGUGGCUGGUGGCAGCGAGCAGGGCACAGCAACGUCGUUAUCGGUGUCAGUACCAGGUGUCUUGGUCAGAAGAGGCAUCAGAGAAGAGUGACCCUGUGGAGCUGGUGCUGACAGAUGUCAGAUAUCCCCCAUCCAGCAUUUCCCUUCACCCUGAGCAAUAUGUGGGAACAGGGACCAAUGUCACCAUCCGCUGCUGGAACAAGGACUACGGGGCCACCUUCCUCCUGCACAAGGAUGUGCUCCUAUCGCCCCUGGCGCUACGCCUUCAUGUCCUCACCCCUUGGGGACACUGUGAUGCUGGAGGUGACACCCACAGCUGCACCCCCAGGUACUGAGGAGCAGUCCCGUGCCAAUGUGGUGAUGGCACUGGUGAGGGGCUUUGUGGCUGCACUCGUCUUUGGCCUCGGAGUCUUCUUUGUCAUCGAUGCCCGCAGCCUCUGGAUACGGAGAGAUGACAACUGUGUGCCCCCCCAGUGACAGUGAGCGUCUGACCUACGCCGAAAUUCAUGCUGUGACCCCUGCUUCCCGGCCACCCAUCAGCCCCCCAUUAUCUACACCCAUGUGGGCAGUGGGGGACCCCUGCUGAUACCCCCACACCGACAGUACUUCAUUUUUAAGGUGCUCUGAAUGGGACACACCCCAAAUUCCCCACUUGGAGCUCCGUGAUACAACAAUCCCAUCCUUAUACCCCUAAAUCCCAAGAAAUCAAACAUCCCCAAAUCCUCCCGUGUGCAGCUCAUCUCAUUUAAAGUCCACCAAAUCCCUGAAUUCUCCUCUCUCACCCCCAAAUCCUUCCUGAUUCCCCUCAAAUCCCGUAACAUUCCUUGAGAUCACAAGUACUCCUUAAUCCACCCCAAAACCAAACACCUCUGCUAGAUAACCUGCAAAUCCUUCCCAAUCCAACCCCACAAUUCCACUGAAGACCCACUCACCCCACUUCCAAUUUGACCUCCUGGAGAUCCCUCCCAGAGUCUCCCUCCUGCUCUUCUGUCUUGCAGCUCCUCAAAGUGGAUUCAAAAUUAUUGCUUUUCUCCCUCCAUCACCUCUCUCUCUUACGUUCCUUCUCUGCUUCUCUCCAUUUCCUCUCUUUUCUUUCUUUUACAUGCUCUUCCUCAUUUUCCUCUCAGUCAUCUUUUAGUCUUCUCCUGCAGCAGCCAUAACCUCAAUUUCCCUGGAGGUAGCAGAGAAGGCAAUAACACCAGUGCCAAAGUAUCCUUUAUCCCUGUCGCUCAUUCACUGCUACUAGGAAGUCCCCUAAUUUUGUUGCAGGGCAGUUGAUUAGCUGAAGGUGAAAGUUCAAUAAAUGGUCUUCUGUUG